rnacentral:piRNA from 1 species
UGCUAUGGGUGUUCAGAGAAGAUCUCUUU